rnacentral:lncRNA from 1 species
ACAAAUAGAACCACCCUGCUAGUAGGCAUUGUUACGUCAAGGAGGAGAUUUGAGUUGUCUCAAAACCAUCACAUUGUUUGUUAUUUAAUGUCUUGUAUCCUUAGUGCUGAGAAUGGGAAGAGUUCUUUUGUGAGACUAUGUGCCAAAAAGUCACUUGAUUGUUAUGCACCUUGGCUUGAAGUGGGGUAGAGUGCCCUUUGCUACACCACCUCAGGCAUCAAAAGGCCUUGAGCCAGUCCUGAACACAGAAACAUAAGAUCCGAAUAAAUAAUCAUCCAUAUUUAGAAUAAAAACUCAGCGCAAGGUAACCCUGUAUACAAAGCUUUAUUAUUUUACAAGCAGUUUUGUUGUGGGAGGGAGGAACACAUAGCUUCCCCGCUUCCCAGGACAAGGCUGGCCUUUACAAAGCAGGGAAGAUGGAUGAUCUUAAUCUUGUGGUACCAUUCCUGUUUUAAAAAUUCCUUCGUCUGCAACUGCUGCUUUUUCUGAGAUGUGUAAUUUUUAUUCAUUAUCCCUAUUGAGGGUAACGUUAUUUGUAGUUUGGGGUUGCUGGAAGAUAGACAGAAGGCAAAUCAGAGAAUGACUUUAUUCUCUUUCCUCCUUUCUUGUAUCAGAACUGAAUGUAUGAAUGUACUCCAAGAUAUGUGUGUGUGUAUAAAACUGGACUUUGUGUAAAUAGACCAUUAUGAACUGUGUAAAACCAAACCUUUGUUUCGCCUUUUAAAAAAAAUUAUAAAUACUGUAUUACAAAAUUGCUGGCAAGUUGGAUUUUUUUUAAACCUAUCAUCAUAAUCAUAAUUAUCAUUACUGUUAAGGAGCACAAAUCAAACUACAGCGUACUUUGAAGGUUAUUUUUACACAAAAGACAGAGGGCCAACUUAGAUGUCACAUUAACUGCAUAAAUGCAAUUAAUAUGAUUAUUGACUUGUAAAUUGCUGCUGGGGGACCCCUUAGCAGACUCAAUACUGCAGGGUGAGGAGUGGACAAGCUUAAUUUUUCUCUCACUCUUAGGUCUGCCUUGAAUCUGGUACUUGAAUUUGACGGGAAACAUGAUUCCUAGAAGAAUAGCUGCUUGGCAAUAAAAGACUGAUACAGAACUGAUGAUAUG